CCUACGGGAGGCAGCAGUGGGGAAUAUUGGACAAUGGGCGAAAGCCUGAUCCAGCCAUGCCGCGUGUGUGAAGAAGGUCUUCGGAUUGUAAAGCACUUUAAGUUGGGAGGAAGGGCAUUAACCUAAUACGUUAGUGUUUUGACGUUACCGACAGAAUAAGCACCGGCUAACUUAUGUG
rnacentral:rRNA from 1 species